GGGGGCCCGCACAAGCGGUGGAGCAUGUGGUUUAAUUCGAUGCAACGCGAAGAACCUUACCUACUCUUGACAUCCAGAGAACUUUCCAGAGAUGGNUUGGUGCCUUCGGGAACUCUGAGACAGGUGCUGCAUGGCUGUCGUCAGCUCGUGUUGUGAAAUGUUGGGUUAAGUCCCGCAACGAGCGCAACCCUUAUCCUUUGUUGCCAGCGGUUAGGCCGGGAACUCAAAGGAGACUGCCAGUGAUAAACUGGAGGAAGGUGGGGAUGACGUCAAGUCAUCAUGGCCCUUACGAGUAGGGCUACACACGUGCUACAAUGGCGCAUACAAAGAGAAGCGACCUCGCGAGAGCAAGCGGACCUCAUAAAGUGCGUCGUAGUCCGGAUUGGAGUCUGCAACUCGACUCCAUGAAGUCGGAAUCGCUAGUAAUCGUAGAUCAGANGCUANC
rnacentral:rRNA from 1 species